GUGCUUGCUUCGGCAGCACACAUACUGCAAUUUGAACGACACAGAGAAGAUUAGCAUGGCCCCUGAGAAGAACGACAUGCAAAUUCAUGAAGCAUUCCACAUUUUU